rnacentral:lncRNA from 1 species
UUUUUCACAUAGUAGUUCCACCCUUAACUAGAUAAUUAAGUAGAAUAUAUUAAGCAAAUACAUCUCUUAACUAGAUAAUUAAGUAGAAUAUAUUAAGCAAAUACAUCUCAGACUUCUUCAACAAGCAUAACCACUCAAAUAUAUAUAUUUAUAUCCAUACACCUCAAACAGUACAGUUGUACAGGUGUACUACAAAUCUUUGAAAAAAAAUAUAGGAAGACCAAACUAUGUUAACCUAUACAACAAUGCCAGACCAAACUUAGACCAACACAAAAUAUCUUUGAGUCAACUAGGACAACAUGACACAUUUGAGACACACUAACCACCACUCUCACGUGCACAAUAGAUUAAUAGUCAAUUGUUCAACAUUAUAGUCUAUGUAUGGGCUUCAACCUUCAGCCAAUUACAAGCUAGCACCUGUGAGAACAAUGGAGAAGGGGAUGGGAAGCCAUACCAGCCAAGGAAGAUGGUUUUCUGAUAUUAAAAGGAGAGAGAGCAGAGCAAGCCAUUGCCAAGACUUCACACAUCUCCAUUCUUCCCCAAAUAGCCAAACCUGCAGCUUGUCUUCCUCCCACUUUCUUCAUCUUUCUAUCUGCAACCAACAAAGAUCCAAGAACAAUAAGUAGAGAUGGUGACCUGAGAAAUCAUAGUAGAUCAAAGGAGGAAGGCUAGAGCAAGAAAUUAGCCUACUGGACUGGGAUCUGGAAGUAGGAGCAGCACUAGUAGGAACAGCAGAGAAGGCAAAAGAAGAAAGGUGAGUUCUUCUUCUUCUGUCAUUCCUUUAGCACUCACACUCACAAAGAAGCCUAACCCAGAUGCACCCACAAUAUUCCUCACAACUUCUUCAUAGAUGCACACAAAAGCUAAAUCAUCCCAGUAAUAUCAUCUAUCACAGAUCUUAAAAUCAACAUUACAAGAAAGCAUGGAUAAUGCCUUAAUCAAGUAAAAUAAAAUGGAUCAAGUAAACCAACAUCUUGCACAAGAGGAAUUGGUUCAGUACACACACAUGCACAUGAGACUAAAUUAAUUUACUAAAUCUGAGAACUUUAACCAUAAAAAAAAUAUUAGGGAUAGGAACAAGGCAUCACUAACCUGCACAUAUGUUCGAUCUGCUCCAUGGCCACGCACUGGAGCUCUGACCUGCACCAUCCAGCAUCACGGCGGCGCCCAAGCCGGCGACUUCGAUCUGGAGCAGCGGAAUCACAUCCCAACGAGAGCCUCACCUGCAAGCCAAAAUCAGAGGAGGAUUUGAGGGUUAGGGAUGAAUCCAUGGGGGACAUAUGGGGAUUUACAUCAGAGAGAGAGAGAGAGAGAGAGAGAGAGAGAGAGAGAGAUUUGAGGAUCCGGCAGCGGCGGAGCAGCAUCUUUCCCGUCGCUGGCGUGCUGCUCGAUCUGGGCAAGGUGUAGAAGAAACAGAGGAGGGCAUGCGUGUACUACUUGUGUUCUGGCUGCACUAGUACUAGUGUGUGUGUUGAUUCGGUUCAGAAUGGGUAAUAGUACUAGGAGAGAGAAAGAGCCACUUAGCCUAAGCUGAAAUGUCACGGUACACUCCCAGGCUACUAGUACUAAUUAGUUAAUUUGAUGACAUGUGAAUAAUGCUAGUUACACACUACACUGAUAAAUAUAACAUAUCUUGUAUCAAGAUUUUACAAGUUUAAAACCUUGGUGACCGUAGGAUAACCACACUGCACCAACGUAUUUUUAUUUUAGUUAUUCACUCGACUUAGUAUCAGUAUAUAUAUAUUUGCUGAAUUGCAGGAAGCAAACAAGACCCGGAGAAGGAAGCGCCACAGAAGCAAUUUGAGUUCGGGUCUGAGUACGAGAACUCAGGCAAGCUCUCCUUGAUCAUGUUGAGUAGAACUAUUUUUCAAAAACACUAUUCUCCGCUAUCUUAUCAUCAACUUGCAUAAAAUGUUUUGAGAUAAAUUGUGUGGAAUGAGUGUUGGCAAAUAGUUGGGUUAGCUGAUGGAGCAGCUAAUCCAUUUUUUUUAUAAUUAUUUGGUGGAUAGAGGGUGAUCGGGAUGGACACAUUGGAAGGUGGGGCCCUCUACAUAUGGCUAUGAUAUUAAGAUUAAAUAACUUCCACUCGUUUUAUGUGCCGUACUACAACCGUAUCAGCCAUGGUCUCAUCUAAGGCGAGUUGAGCCCAAUACUAAUGCCGGAUGGGUGCAUUAGCAAGCGCUAUAUAUUAAGUGUUGGUGGAGUGCGGGUUCUGAAACCCGACACAACGGCUAGUGACCACUAGCCAGGUGGAGAUAUAAUAUACAAAUGGGAAAAAGCUUAGGUUCUGAACCAUUUCUCGCAACUAAGGAAAUGCAUAUGGCAAUUAUGGUUUCGAGCUCUGUGUGUAAAGUGAUACAAACUCUGCAGAGUUAAAGAAAAACAUGAAUUCAUGCCAGUCUCUUGGAUUGGAGACUACGGGGACCUAUUGGUGGUCUAUCUCGCAAUACGAGUGUUUGAUAGCUUUUAUAAAUUGAAAUAAACUUCUGCAACAAAUGUUUAUUUUUGAAAGUUGUGAGUUGAGGUAUGACUUGUUGAUUUAUAUUGAGCUAUCAUGACUGUUGCAUUCUGCUAUUUGAGCUUGAUGAGUACUUUGUACUCACUCUUGCUAUUAAUCAUCUUUUUCUUAGAGCAAAGCUUGUAUGAGAAUCCUACUGGACCAAGUGAGGAGAGCAAUGGUGAUGGCUACAACUACACAGGGGACCUAGAUGUGGAUCCAUCUAGUGCUAUGUAUGAUCUGGAUGCCACAUAUGGGGGCUGGGAUGAACAAGUAACUUGUGAGCUAGCUAUGUAAUCCAGGAACUAUUUCAUCACUAUAUAUCUAGUACCGUUGUUGGAACUAGCGAACAUGUGAGAAGCCUACUUGAGACUUUUAGCCCCACGUGGCAUGAUAUUGUAAUAUAAGAGACCAUCUCUAGCUAUUUCCAUGUUGCAUAUCUCUAACAUGGAUUAUUAUUUGACAAGACAAUAUUUUGUCCAGAAAUAAUCCAAGGACAGUGUCAUUAUCUAUAAUAAUAAUGACACGGGUCAUCACAGGUGGUAUCAGUGCCAGGUUUUCGAGGGCCACGCAGAUAGUUAGAGACGGUUAGAAUACUUUAGUUGGAACCCAUACUUGCUAUAUUGCACAAGUAAUUAGACCCAGAAUAUAUCAUUGUGGCCAGUAACUUUAGAUGACUACCAUGCUAAUUGGAAGCCUGUUGCAGGAUGGUUUGAAUUAGAAUUCCACCAUCAAGGGUUCGUGGCCAACAUGUCCUACUACUUUGGCAAAUGAUGGAGGAGCUUGGGGCACCAUGUCCACAAUUCUUUGAAGAGAUACCAGAUGAUGGAACACACUCCUACAGACGCGUAGUACUGGUGCUUAGCGGUGUUCCAUCGGACAUGGACUUCUAUGUGGAGCUCUCCACAAUGCAGCGAUCAUCCGAUGACACUCUACCCAUGUAGGAGGUUGCCAAAGAAGCUAUGCAUGGACUGCGAGCACGCUCUGGAGAGAAAUUGCGCACUACCGGAUAUCGUGACUUGCCAGCACUUGAUUCUGGAAGUUUUGGGCAGAACCAUCAGCAAGGACCUAGAGUAGCAAGCCUGGGUGUCGGGUCUUCAUCAGCUCAGCAUGCACCUGCCGCAACAGUUAGCACCACUUCUACCAUGGCCAGGAUUGCUGAUGUGAUGAUGUACCAUACAAUGAAGGAAGAGCUUAUUAGGCGUCAAGAAGCAACCAAAUUCUAGUAUCAAUGCUAUCAGAUGAGCGAACAUGACGGGAUUAUGCUUCAGGAAGCACUAAAUGCUAUGCUGAGGUCCACUUAAUCCUAUAAUAGUACCAAGUGAUGUUGAAGAGGAAGUAGAACCAGAGGAACCGGAAGAACUUGAGGAAGUAGAGAACCCAGAUGAGCCAGUAGUUCCACCCUCACCAGACAUACCACCUACACCACCCCAGCCAUUACCUGAACAUAUAGCUGAACCUGAACCAGCCCUACAGUCUGAUAUAGAGCAGCAACAGCUACCCCACUUCCCUAAUCCACGACUACACCAACCUGACUUUAUCCACCCACACAUGAGUGUCAGCUCGAGGGAGUACAGGGAGGCUGCUACCUAUGCAAGGGUACUUGGGCUUGGCGCAAGUGGCAGCGGCGAAAGUAAUGGAAGUGGCAGCGGUAGCAACAAUGGCGGUGGCAGCGGCAUCGCCUAAUCAAGUUCCAAUCUGCCAAACUCUUCGGCGUGAAACACCUUGGCCAUAGACUAAUCUUUUGGGAUCAGCAGUAGUUAGUGUAGUGGCAGCCUGAAUAUGUGUGUUUAUGUAAGAUAUGCCUGAACUUCAAUGCUAGAGUAUGUCGCCUAUGUACUAGUAGGAACUGAACCCUAUGUGGCGUGUGCUGUAGUUGUAAUGUAGUUAUGCCCUUAACUAAUACUUAUGUGAUGUACUGGUUGUAAUAUAAGUGCUUGUUCCGUAGUAUAUAACUUGUGUGCAUUAGUAGGCUCAUAGUACCUUACUAUUGUGUGCUUUAGUGGUAACACAGAGGAUAACAUAAUCCUAUUAGGCAAAAGUAAAAUGUUUGACAUCAUCUUAUGGGAGACACAAGAGUAAUCGGAGUUGUAUCAUUCUGGUUAGUAAGAGGCAUUUGCCACCAGAAUUAAACUUCAUGUUUGGUUACUGCAAAUUUAAGGAUAGCAUGAUAUUUAUUGAUAUCACUUGCACUUGUGCUUGCUGAUUGAAUCAAUAAUCAUGCAAAGAAGUAACCAACUAACUAGACAAAAAAUGCAGGAUGGAUAACAAUGGCUUGACCGAGCAAGACCUUGUCUUUCGGUUGGGAUCAAGCGCCCAUGAUCAGCAUGGGGGUACUCCAUCUUCAGAAAAUCAAAGUGCUCUACCUGGACCGGUGCAACUUCCAAGCAACCCAGAAGUUGGCAAUGCUGGAACUUCUGGACUUAUGAGUGGAGAAGGCAAUUUGGGAGAUGUCCUUAAGUUCAUGGAUAAUUCUCGAAGGGAGUCCCAAGAGAACCAGAACCACUUCCUCGAAGCAAUACUCACAAGACUAGUUCCUGGAGGAGCAAACCUACCCGGUGCAGGAGUUAGCUUGGGAGAAUUUCUGAAAACUCAGCCACCCACAUUCUCCACUAGAGGCAGAUGACUGGCUGUUAGAAGUAGAACAUAACCUGGAAACCGUAGGGUGCUCAGAUGAAGAGAAGGUGAGAUAUGCAUCACACCAGCUAACUGGACCAGCAGCAGCUUGGUGGAGAAAUUUCAACCUUAACCGAGCAAAUAAUCAGCCUAUCACUUGGGAGGAGUUCAAGGAGAAUUUCCGUCAGACCCAUAUUCCAAAGGGAAAGAUGGAUAUCAAAAAGAGGGAGUUUCGCAAUCUGUCUCAAGGUAGCGGGAGGAUAAACGACUACAUGAACCAAUUUAAUGAUUUGGCAAGGUAUGCUCCAAAUUAUGUGAACACUGAAGCCAAGAAAGUGGAGAAGUUUAUGGAGGGGCUGCAUCCAUUCCUGAAAAUGCACCUCUCAAUUCACGGGAUCACCCAGUUUCAAGACCUUGUCAAUAGGGCCUUCAUACUUGAGAAUGAGCAUGCCAACCUAAGUGAAGAGAUAAGGAAGAAAGCAAGGGUAGAUCCAUGCCCCAUGAUGCAACACCCACGUCUUAUGAUGCAUGGACCAGUGCGUCCUCAUAUGCCACCACCACGGCCUAUUCCUACUCAGCCAAUCUUUGUUCCUAAAUGCGGGAAAUGUUGAAAGGGUCAUGCUACUCGAGAUUGUAUGAUGGGUACAGGAGUUUGCUUCAAUUGCGGGAGACCAGGACACCACAAGAUCAAUUGCAUCUCUCCUCCAGCAAAUCCUACAAGGCCACCUAUGCAGCAGACUCAAGGGCAUCGUCCACUAGUUGGGCAAGGACGAGGCGGACCUAUGAACUAUGCGGCAAGAGGAGCUGGGCGUGGAGGACAAGUAGGAGGACAGCCAAGGCUGAAUUAUGUGGCUGCAGAGCAACUAGGAGAAGCUACAGAUGUUGUCAUCGGUAAACCACUCAUUCCUCCUUCAGUUGGUAUAGUUAUUUUACACCGGUGCCACACACUUAGUUAUUUCCCAAGAAUUCGUGAAUAAGAGCAUGCACACCGUUGGAAAAAAGCUUUAGGAGUUAACUCACCUGGAGGGAAGAUUACAGUAGAGACAACACGCAGAAAUCAACCAAUAAUAAUCCACAACACCAACAUUUUAGCAAACCUGCAUGUCAUAGAGAUGGCAGGGUUAGAAAUAAUCCUCGGGAUGGUUUGGUUAGCUGCCAAUAUAGUGAAAGUAGAUUAUGAACUUAAAGGGGUAUAUAAAAGUAUUACCUAUGAGAGGGGUUCGACGCUUUGGAAUCAAAGGGAAGCUAAGUCCUAGAUAUGUUGGGCCCUUUAAAAUUUUAGAGAAGGGAAAUCUGCUUAUAAGUUGGAAUUACCACACACCUAUCAAGGACUCACAAUGUCUUCCACAUAUCUCAACUUAAGAAAUGCAACAAGCCACCACCACAUUUGUCAGACUAGGAGGAUUGAUCUAGAGACAGACCUGACCUAUGAAGAGCGCCCAUUGAAGAUAUUAGAAGUUGAAGACCGCAAGCUCAGGACAAGGACCAUGCGGUUCUACAAGGUUCAAUGGAAGAAUCACUUCGUUCGCGAGGCUACGUGGGAGAAGGAGGAAGACAUACGAGUUACCUACCGCAAUCUUUUUAAGUAAGUUUUCGAUUUCGAGGACGAAAUAUUUUUCUGAGGGUAGGAUGUAACGACCUGUAUUUUCACAUAGUGGUUCCACCCUUAACUAGAUAAUUAAGUAGAAUAUAUUAAGCAAAUACAUCUCAGACUUCUUCAACAAGCAUAACCACUAAAAUAUAUACAUUUAUAUCCAUACACCUCAAACAGUACAGUUGUACAGGUGUACUACAAAUCUUUGAAAAAAAUAUAGGAAGACCAAACUAUGUUAACCUAUACAACAAUGCCAGACCAAACUUAGACCAACACAAAAUAUCUUUGAGUCAACUAGGACAACGGGACACAUUUAAGACACACUGACCACCACUCUCACGUGGUCAGUGUGUAAACUCUGCCUGAGGUUGAGGUUGGGCUGAGUGAAGAUGUACUUGAGACUCUUGUGAUCAGUGAAAAUGUCCACUUGUCUUCCCAAUAGGAGAUGUCUCCACGUUAUUAAUGCAUGUACAACUGCCGCCAACUCAAGAUCGUGAGUGGGGUAGUUCUUCUCGGUGGGCUUCAACUGACGAGAGAUAUAGGCCACAACUUUCUUCUCUUGCAUUAACAUAGCACCGAGACCUUGGAGAGAAGCAUCACAGAAAACUUCAAAAGGCUUGGAUUCAUCAGGAGGAGUUAAGACAGGAGCGGUGACGAGUUUCUCUUUGAGAGUGUUGAAAGCAAUGCCACACUCAGGAGACCAGACAUACUUCACAUGCUUCUGGAGGAGGUUGGAAAGAGGCUUUGCAAUUUUGGAGAAAUUCUCAACGAAUUUUCGGCAAUAGCUUGCAAGACCAAGAAAACUGCGGAGCUGCUUGACAUUCUGAGGAGGUUCCCAAUUCACAAUUGCGGACACCUUCUCGGGGUUAACAGCGAUGCCCUUGGCAGAGAUGAUGUGACCAAGGAAAAGAACUUCAUCAAGCCAAAACUCACAUUUGGAGAACUUCGCAUAGAAUUGAUACUCUCUGAGCUUGUCGAGCACCAAUCGCAAAUGUUUGGCAUGAUCCUGCUUAUUCUUGGAGAAAACCAAGAUAUCAUCGAGAUACACCAAGACGAAUUCAUUGGUAUAGGGGUUGAAGAUGAAAUUCAUCAUCCGAGAAAACACUGGAGGAGUAUUGACAAGGCCGAAAGACACGACAGUAUAUUCAUAACAACCAAAGCUUGUUCUGAAUGCUGUCUUGGGAAUAUAUUCUUCACGAAUGCGAAUCUGAUGAUAACCCAUACGAAGGUCAAGCUUGGAGAAUACUUUAGCACCUUUGAGUUGCUCGAAUAGCUCAUUGAUGCUGGGAAGUGGAUACUUGUUCUUGAUUGUCUUCUUGUUCAAUGGACGGUAGUCGACACAAAGUCGGUCCGUGCCAUCCUCUUCUUGACAAAAAGAACACCACAACCCCAUGGGGAAGAACUCGGUCUGAUCAAACCCAGACGCUCUUGUUCAUCGAGCUGUUUCUUCAAUUCCUUCAGCUCGUUGGGACCAAGCUUGUAUGGACGCUUGCAAAUGGGUUCAGUGCCAGGCUCUAGUUCGAUAACGAACUCAACUGGCCGAUGAGGAGGCAUACCCGGAAGCUCUUCUGGAAAGACAUCUUGAUACUCACAAACGACUGGAAUUUGGGAGAUGGGAUUCAAUUUGCCCUUCUCAUUGAGAGAGAAAAACCGAAUGGUUUCAUCACGAGCGGCAAAAAUAAUCACAUCCUUAGAAGAGUGUGUCAAUUGAAUUUCCCUGGCAGCACAAUCAAGUUGAGCCUUGUGCUUAGAAAGCCAGUCCAUCCCGAGAAUAAGAUCAAUAUCCGAGUCACCAAGAACAAUUGGAGAAGACUGGAAUUCAUAGUCACCCAUCUUGAUGGAAACAUCCGGAACCAUCAUACUAGAACUCAAACGUUUACCCGGAGAAACGACAUCCAUGGGUUUACUCAAAUGAGAACAAGUGAAUUCAUGCUUGGCAAAAAACGGUCUUGACAUGAAACAAAGCGAAGCACCAGUAUCAAAAAGAACUUUUGCAGGAAUAUCAUUAACUGAGAGAUUACCCAUUAUCACAUGAGUAGAUUCCUCCGCUUGAGCUGCAUUCAUCAUGUUCACCUUUGCAGACUUUGGAUUAUGCUUGACCACUGCAUUGCUGGAAGAUCUGACAGGGGGAGGAGGAGGAAGGCGCCUUUGGUUGAAGCACUUGUUAGCAUAGUGACCUUUCUGCUGACACUUGUUGCAAGUCACCUCUGAGAGUGGACGGUGAUAAGGAGCAUUGGACUUUGGAGCUUGAUUCUGAGACUUGUUCUGAUAGCCAGAGUUGGAAGAGUUGGAAGAACCAUGGCCACCUUUGUUCUUCUGCUGGUAAGGCUGACGGAACGGAGGAGGAGGAGGCAACCAGAACUUCUGUUGCUUAGCUGUCACAAGUGAGGAAGAAGAAGACUGAACUGCGUCCCUGACUCUCUUCUUAGAAGCCUCACACUUGAGCUGAGCAGCCUCUUGCUUCAAUGCCAUAUUAUAGAAUUGGUCAAACUGAGUAGGCUCAACAAGAACGAGAGCUAACUGCAGAUCCUCUUUAAGGCCACCUCUGGAGUGAUAAAUCAUGCUCUUUUCAUCAGGAACGUCUUGUUUAGCGAAGCGAGCAAGUUUCUGAAACUGGAUGUUGUAUUGAUACACAGACAUGUUGCCUUGCUUGAGAUUGCGGAACUCCUCACGCUUGCUCUCAACAACACUUUGUGGAAUGUGGUGCGCUUUGAAGUCCCAACAGAAGUCAGUCCAAGUGAUCACACGACCUCCUCUGGAAUCUUUGUAUUGCUGAAACCAAUCAGCAGCUUGGUCCUUGAGUUGGAAAGAAGCGAACUUGACAUAGUCCUCAGGCCUGACAUUGCUACAUUCAAAAUGCUUGUUGAUGUCCACGAGCCAAUCAUCGGCAUCUGUGGCCUCGGCACAGUAGCUGAAAGACUUGGGCUGAUUUGCGAGAAACUGGUUGAGUGUAGCGAAGUUAGGCUGAUUGUUGCCUUGACCUUGAUUGCCUUGAUUGCCUUGCCCUUGAGUACGUUCUUGCAAGAGUUGCAGAAUCAUCUGAGCAUUGGCGUUGGUGGCUGCCAUGAUAGCUUGCCAUGCCUCCGGAGGCGGAGGUGGUGGCGGAGGGUUCGCUUGACUCCCUUCAUUGCGAUCCGGAUUCUGACGCGUUGGCGGAGCCAUCCUGAAGAGGGUGACAUCCGUUAGCAUCUUGAUAGACAAAUAGAUAAGUAGAAUCAACGGAUAGAAAUUGCAACAUAUAGUCUUCACAAUAAACAUUCGAACGAAGAUGAAUGAAUGAAUUCCGUAGUAAAUCAUCACACUUCCAUAAGUUGAGAAGCCACUUGAAAAAGAUAUGGAAUCAACGUAUAACUUCGAAGCAACUCGAAUACCACAAUACAAAACAAAACAAAGUAUUGGCUUGCAUAAUAAGCCGGAACAAACAUAUGAUAGAGGUUUCGUCCGAAGUUUUCGUGGUGGGGCCCACACGGGCUCAAUCGUACAUCACCAUCAUGUACAAGGCUGUGCACAUGACAUACGAAGCGUCCCCGAGUCGGCAUAGCCAUGGACUCUUUAAGACACUACGAGACCACUGUAAAACCAACCGUGUACAGGCGGACCACUAGACGUCGAACCCCAAUCUCAUAUCAUGCGUCUGUCGGAAAGAUAUCCUAAGGCUACUUGAAUUCCCACUUAUAAACUCCCGAAACUUUCUGGUUAUGCAAUCUGGUGUUGGGGAUACAGGGGACACAAUAUAUAUCACCCAAACUAGCAAUCCCUAGAUCCAGCUGUAUCCAUCCGUCAACACAUAACCAAGAAACCUUCGGAAAUCGUUUACCUCAACCUUCGAAAAACAUCCGUUAUACAAGUUAUGGCAAUACUCCCGAACUCCCGCCCCAGUACUGGGUGGCGUCAAGGUGAUCUCACCAACAACUGCAUAAAAGAGAUUUCGAUGUCGGCGAAACUCAGGUAUUCCAGAACUGCAACGAUAAAAUUGUGACGACAACACCUCGGAGCUCAACUCCCCGGGACACUGUCACAACCCCUAAAUGUCAGGAGGCACCAAGAACAAUGUUCUCAUCACAAAACCAUCGGAACGAUUCCAAGAUACCCGCGUGAUCCAAAUUUUUUUUUUUUGUGAAAUUUGAGGAGAGAAUAGUCAAAACUUCUACGUCAGGAGACCUCACCAGAGCGACGAAGGGACUGAGGAGUAAAAAGAAUCCUACUCUCCGAUAUAUAUAAUCCUAAGACUCAAAACAUUUUUGUUCUAGACUCAACAACGCCAGCGAUUCGAUCAAGCAAGGGGCUCCUAAGUCGGGGAUGGCUCUGAUUACCAACUUGUAACGCCCACGAUGCGGCUAUAUCUCCCACGUGUCGAGGCACGACUUAGAGGCAUAACCGCAUAGUGGUUUUGUCGCAAGAAGGGUCAUCUUCACACAAUCCCAUGUAAUGAACAAGAAUGGGAUAAAGAGUUGGCUUACAAUCGCCACUUCACACAAUACAUAAAUAUCAUCAUACAUCAUCCAAAAUACAAUCCUAUAGACCGACUACGGUCAAAAUCCAGAUAAAAAUAAGACAACCCCAAAUGCUAGAUCCCCGAUCGUCCCAACUGGGCUCCACUACUGAUCAUCAGGAAAAGACACAUAGUAACGACCACGUUCCUCGUCGAACUCCCACUUGAGAUCGACCCCAUCAUCUGCACUGCCAUCGUCGGCACCUGCAACUGUUUUGGUAGAAUCUGUGAGUCAUGGGGACUCAGCAAUCUCACACCCGCGAGAUCAAGACUAUUUAAGCUUAUAGGAAAGGAUGGUGUAAUGAGGUGGAGCUGCAGCGGCAAUAAGCAUAUAUGGUGGCUAACAUACGCAAAAGAGAGCGAGAAGAGAAGCAAUGGAACGGUCGUCUUCUAGCAAUGACCAAGAAGUGAUCCUGAACUCCUACUUACGUCAUACAUAACACAGACCGUGUUCACUUUCCGGACUCCGCCGAGAAGAGACCAUCACGGCUACACACGCAGUUGAUGUAUUUUAAAUGGGUCAAGUGACAAGUUCUCUACAACCGGACAUUAACAAAUUCCCAUCUGCCUCAUAACCGCGGGCACGGCUUUUGAAAGAUAAUACCCUGCAGGGGUGUCCCAACUUAGCCCAUCAUAAGCUCUCACGGUCAACGAAGGAUAAACCUUCUCCCGGAAAGACCCGAUCAGUCUCGGAAUCCCGGUUUACAAGACAUUUCGACAAUGGUAAAACAAGACCAGCAAAGCCGCCCGAAUGUGCCGACAAAUCCCGAUAGGAGCUGCACAUAUCUCGUUCUCAGGGCACACCGGAUAAAUCAAGCUACGAGUAAAACCAGACCUCGAGUUUCCCCGAGGUGGCCCCGCAGGCUGCUCGGUUCGGACCAACACUCGAAGGAGCACUAGCCCGGGGGGUGUUAAAAUAAAGAUGACCCUCGGGCUCGCGAAAACCCGGGGGAAAAGGCUUAGGUGGCAAAUGGUAAAACCAAGGUUGGGCCUUGCUGGAGGAGUUUUAUUCAAGGCGAACUGUCAAGGGGGUCCCAUAAAUCACCCGACCGUGUAAGGAACGCAAACUCAAGGAACAUAAUCCCGGUAUAUCAGUAACUAGGGCGGCAAGAGUGGAACAAAACACCAGGCAUAAGGCCGAGCCUUCCACCCUUUACCAAAUAUAUAGAUGCAUUAAUUAAAUAAGAGAUAUUGUGAUAUCCCAACAUAUCCAUGUUCCAACAUGGAACAAACUUCAACUUCACCUGCAACUAGCAACAUGGAACAAACUUCAACAGCACCUAGCCCUCUUCCAACAGAGAUUUGGGCAUCAAGAUGACCUCUAAUGAACAUGGUGCAAUUGAACAAAAUGUAGAGCAUCACGAGACGAACAAUUUGAUAUAUUACACGCGCGAAUUGGAGCUACAUGCAAGAAGUUACGCACUGAGGAACAUGAGCACUUGCUGGAAAUCAAAAGGACUUAGAAAUAUCUAGGGUUCGGGAAAAGUCAACUGUACAUUGCCUUCUCGAUCGGAUCUGGCUGGGGCGCGAGCUCGGGCUCGUCGCCGGCGAUGGAGAGGAGGAGGAGACGGCGGCGGGGCAGCGCCGUGGAGAGGAGGAGGAGGCCGGAGAGGUGGAGGGCGGCGCGGUCGGCGGCGGACGGGGCGCCGGCGACGGCGGCGGGCACUGGUGCGGCGGCGCGGCGNNNNNNNNNNNNNNNNNNNNNNNNNNNNNNNNNNNNNNNNNNNNNNNNNNNNNNNNNNNNNNNNNNNNNNNNNNNNNNNNNNNNNNNNNNNNNNNNNNNNNNNNNNNNNNNNNNNNNNNNNNNNNNNNNNNNNNNNNNNNNNNNNNNNNNNNNNNNNNNNNNNNNNNNNNNNNNNNNNNNNNNNNNNNNNNNNNNNNNNNNNNNNNNNNNNNNNNNNNNNNNNNNNNNNNNNNNNNNNNNNNNNNNNNNNNNNNNNNNNNNNNNNNNNNNNNNNNNNNNNNNNNNNNNNNNNNGUGGCGGCUCGCCACUGGCUCGGGGCGGCGGCGCGGUUCGUCCGGCCGACGGCGGACGCGUCCGGCGGCGCGGAGGGAAGUUUUUUAGGGUUUCGUCUGCGAUUCGUUUUCGGGAGGGGAGGCAUAUAAAUAGGUAGAGGAAGCUAGGAGGCUCCAAAUGAGGUGCGGUUUUCGCCCACACGAUCGUGAUCGAACGACCUAGAGUAUGGAAGAGAGUUAGGUGGGUUUUGGGCUGGUUUUUAGGGGGGUUUUGACUGGACACAUAAAUGGACUUUGCGGAUGCCCCGUUAACCGUUGGAGUACCAAACGACCUCCAAAUGGAACGAAACUUGACCGGUGGUCUCCGGGUAGUAUAUUAAGGCCACUUGACAAGCCUCGGUCCAUUCCGAGAACAUUAGACACCCGCACACGAAAGAAAACAAGAGGGGUGCACCGGAGGAGAUAGGAGCGCCGGAUUGCAAAACGGACAACGGGGAAAAUGCUCGGAUGCAUGAGACGAACACGUAUGCAAAUGCAAUGCACAUGAUGACAUGAUAUGAAAUGCAUGACAUGAACAAAAUGCAAAACGAAAGACAAAACCCGACCACGGAGAGAAUAUCAUAGCACAUAGCCGAAAAUGGCAAGAGUCGGAGUUACAAAUAUGGAAAGUUACAUGCGGGGUGUUACAGUUAACCUAUACAACAAUGCCAGACCAAACUUAGACCAACACAAAAUAUCUUUGAGUCAACUAGGACAACGGGACACAUUUAAGACACACUGACCACCACUCUCACGUGCACAAUAGAUUAAUAGUCAAUUGGUCAACAGUAUAGUCUAUGUAUGGGCUUCAACCUUCAGCAAAUUAGAAGCUAGCACCUAUGAGAACAAUGGAGAAGGGGAUGGGCAGCCAUACUAGCCAAGGAAGAUGGUUUUCUGAUAUUAAAAGGAGAGAGAGCAGAGCAAGCCAUUGCCAAGACUUCACACAUCUCCGUUCUUCCCCAAAUAGCCAAACCAGCAGCUUGUCUUCCUCCCACUUUCUUCAUCUUUCUAUCUGCAACCAACAAAGAUCCAAGAACAAUAAGUAGAGAUGGUGACCUGAUGAUGAGGACAUCAAUAUCAUUAUUACACCCACAGCCCCUGCUACUAUACAUACUGGACCGAUUACUAGAGCUCGCACACGCCAAUUAAAUUACCAGGUACUUUCGUUUCUUUGUAAUGAUUCUAAUGUUCAUGAGAAUAUGAUGUUGCCUAAAUUGGAUACAUUUGUUUUGCUUACAAAUAAAGGGCCUAGCUUAGAAGGAUGAACAGUUGAACAAGAACAAGCAUGGAGUUGAUGGCAUGCACAAGGGAGACAAGAACAGAGUUUCAAGUGAUGAUUUCAGGACUUUGAAGCCACCAUAAUGAGUGCAUGAAGCCUUGGACGAAAUAUACAAGAUGCCACUUCAUAAUUUUCAUCCAGAGGCUAUUCUAGGUGCUGCGUCACCUUAUUUUUGGGCCAGGCCCAUGUAUUUUCGAAAUACUUGAAUAUAGGCUGUUUUCAGAGUCCGUAUGUGUGGGGAAACAAGAGUUAGGGUUGGUUUCGGACCCCUCCUCCAAGGGGCACGAAAUUCCCCCCUCUUCCUCCAUAUAUACAGCCCUUAGGGCAUCGUUUAGACUUUGGGGGUUUUGUUUAGAUUAAAAGUUCGCCAUAGCUGCAACUUCGCGUAUUUCGUUUGUGUUCAACGACCAGACCAAGACGUCACAGAACCCCACCUUCAUUAAUAAAGCUUUCCUCUUUUAUUCGCAAUAUCCAGAUUGCAAUCUCAGUUUCUUGCUUGUUCUUCGUUUGCUCGCAGGAAAUAGACCCUCGUGGUCAGGUUGAUCGUGCUCCGGCGUGGUCAAUAACCCUUCGGAAGUUGGUUUAGCGAUUGCUAAGGCGCGACGUCUUCGCACGUUCGUAGUCGGGUCGUCAAAGUCGACUCCCUCAGAAAAUGAUAGCUAUCCCAUCGAAACAUUGGGACACCCUCGCCUCUAUCAAGUGGCAUCAGAUUUCCAGGUUGCUCGGUGAGAUUUUACAGUUUUUCGUAGUUUAGAUCGAGUCUAUUCUUCAUACCUACAGUCCACGAAAAAGCCAUAAAAAAUUAGGGUUAGUUCAUCAUAUCCGAACCAAUCUGAGCCUUUGCAUAAUCUUUUUAGGGUUUUUUCUUUGUUGAAUUUGCGGUUGGAUCGUCGUGUCUAGUUGCUGGUCUUAGAGUCUAGUCUUUUAGAGUUUCGAGUUCUGGUCAUAAGUUGUCACGCCGCCGCCGCACCAUCAUCAUCGCCCCUGCCAUCUACCACCACCGCUUAUCCCCCACCGCUCUGAAUCCGUAUCCAUAUACCACCACCGAUUCGUAUCCAUAUACCACAACUGAUCCGUAUCCAUAUACCACCACCGCUACCAUAUACCACCACCGCGGCCAUAUCCUACCACCAUAUAUCCACCACCAAUCCGAGUUCUUUUCAUAUUAGGUUUGUUUUCGAGAUCCAUCUAUUUUCCGAUUCGUGUUUUCUUGCCUGAGUAGGUUUCGAAAAAAAAGAGUCUGGAUACCCCCGGGCAGUUUUUAGGCCAAAAUUUCGGCGACCGAAAAUAUUUUUCCCUAUCCUAUUUUUAGGUGUUUCUGAGUCUUUUGAGCCACGUGCCAUCAUAGUGAUUUUUUGUCGCACUUUUUCGUCGUCGUUGCCCUGAUUUCAAAAAAAAAUAGUCAAAAAAAAUUUGUGCCCAUCUUGUCAUUUUGACCUGGGAAGAGUUAUGAGACAAUCGCCAUUAUCGUGAUUUUUCGCAAAAAAAAGAGCGCAAAAAAAUAGAGCGAAAAAAAAUUCCAGAGUGUGCUUUUCCCUUGUUUACGUGCAGCGCCGUGAUUUUGUUAGUGUUCUAGGCUCGCGUGUCUAGCACGGUCUAGUCUAGGACCAGCAUAGUACCAUCGUUGAGCGUUUAUUCAACUUUGCAUCUCUGAAUUGAUUAUUGCUGACCCUUUUUGCUACCAUAUUAUAAGCCUUCCUAGCUCCACAUAAAUCUACGUCGUGCGUUUGACUCUCCCUGGUAAUCGCUCUAUCCAAGCUUUGAGAGUUUUUACUACAACGGUUGCCGUUCACCACCUGCUGCUAGGUAAGAAUUGGUAAGAAUUUGAGAUUUGUUUGACGGAUUUGUGACACCCCACCACCGCCAUUUUCUAGUAGUCCGUAGGAUCAUAUUCUUGUGUGUUUCUAUUGCUGCUAACCAUGGCAGGAUCACAAGCCAACGAGACUGACUGGGAGAACAUGACGAACAAAGAGUUACAUGAUAAGUUUCAGCAAAUGAUGAGUGGACAAGUGGAAGAUGUGCUAAACAAAUUUGAAGAGGCCAUGAAAAAGAUAGAUGGCAUUGAGAAGGCAUUCGAAACAAAGCUCGAUAACAAGUUUAAUGAAUUGCUCGUGCGUCUUCCACAACCACCGGCCUCCGCACCUGUCGCACCUCUACAACAACAACAACAACAACAACAACAACAACAACAACAACAACAAUAACAACAACAACAACAACAUCGCCUUCCAAAUCAAGUGGGAUGAGCACAGCGCGUUCCCCUUGAGCCUGGUCAAACUUCUGGUGCCGCUGUUAAUGCUUUUCUAGCUCCUGCUGCUACUGCAGAGGUGGUGGACCAUUACGAGGAUGAGGUUGACCAAAAUCAGAACUACGUGCAACCACCAGCACCACCACCACCAGGUCGUCCUCAUGCAUAUCAUCGCAACGGUAGGGCCGCACCACCACCUGAGGUACAUGACCAUCUUCCUAAACUAAAAUUGAAUAUUCCACCAUUUGAGGGUAGAUAUGUUCCUGAUAUAUAUCUUACUUGGGAGUUAGAAAUUGAACAACGAUUUACAUGUUUACAAUAUAUUGAGGAGAGACGUGUUCCUGCUGCUGUUUGUGCUUUCACUAGCUUUGCAUGUGUUUGGUGGUCUGAACAUUGUAGAUUAUAUCCUAUUCCAGCUACCUGGGCUGCUUUGAAAAUAGCUAUGCGUACUCGUUGGGUUCCACCAUAUUAUCAACGUGAAUUACUUCAAAAAUUGCAGCGUUUAAGACAAGGAAUUUUUUUUGUAGAAGAGUAUUAUCAGGAAUUACAAACUGGAAUGAUUAGAUGUGGUAUUGUUGAGGAGAAUGAAGCUAUGCUUGCAUGUUUUAUUGGUGGAUUAGAUAGAGAGAUUCAGACCAUUCUAGAGUAUACGGAGUAUAACAAUAUCACUCGUUUAUCCCAUCUUGCUUGUAAAGCUGGCCGUGAAGUGCAGGAUCGACAAGCAUUGGUGCGAACUAACUUUUCUGCAGGCCGACCUUCAUCACGGACACCACGUGCAUCCUCUACUUCCACUGCACCAGCACCUCCAUCAGGUGCCACCUCCAGUCGUGAUACAAGAAAGCAGGCACAACCACCACUAUCUGCCAAGAGCACACCUACCGGGCCUACACAGAACUCUUCUUCUUCGAUGGCAUCAACAGGGCACACAAGUGAUAUUAUUUGUCGUCGUUGUAAGGAAAGAGGUCAUUAUGCGAAAGAAUGCAAAUCUCAGCGUGUGAUGAUUGCUACUGAGGAUGGUGGGUAUGAGUCCACUAGUGACUAUGAUGAGGAGACUUUGGCUCUUAUUACACAUGAAGAACACGGUGAAGAUGAUUCUGAUCAUGAGAGGCAAUACAUGGCUCCUGAAGACGCUGACAUGUAUGAACGUUUAGUUGCUCAACGUGUUUUGAGUGUGCAGGUCACACAAGCUGAGCAAAAUCAGAGGCAUAAUUUGUUCCAUACAAAGGGAGUUGUGAAGGAACGUUCUGUUCGCGUCAUCAUAGAUGGAGGGAACUGCAACAACUUGGCUAGCAUGGAGAUGGUGGAGAAGCUAUCUCUCACCACAAGACCACAUCCAUAUCCUUACUACAUCCAAUGGUUCAACAACAGCGGCAAGGUUAAGGUAACACGUACUGUUUGUGUGCAUUUUAGUAUCUCUACAUAUGCUGAUUAUGUUGAUUGUGAUGUGGUACCUAAGCAAGCAUGUUCCUUAUUACUUGGUAGACUAUGGCAAUUUGAUAAAAAUUCUGUACACCAUGGUAGAAACAAUCAGUAUACUCUUGUUCAUAAGGAUAAAAAUAUUACUUUGCUUCCUAUGACUCCUGAUUCCAUUUUGAAAGAUGAUAUUAAUAGAGCUAAUAAAGCAAAACAGGAGAAAAAUAAGAGUGAAAUCAGAUUGUGGCAAAAGAAUUGAGCAACAAAUGAAACCUAAUAAUAAACCAUCUAGUGUUGCUUCUGAAAUUAAAUUGAAAAGUGCAUGUUUACUUGCCACAAAAUCUGAUAUUGAUGAGCUAGAUUUCAGCAAAUCUGUUUGCUAUGCUUUUGUGUGCAAAGAGGCAUUAUUUUCAUUCGAGGACGUGCCUUCCUCUUUGCCCCCUGUUGUCACUAACAUUUUGCAGGAGUUCGCUGACGUCUUUCCACAAGAUGUGCCACUCGGAUUACCACCUAUUCGAGGGAUUGAGCAUCAAAUUGACUUAAUUCCCGGUGCAUCGCUACCCAACCGUGCACCAUACCGUACCAAUCCAGAGGAGACGAAGGAGAUUAUGCGUCAAGUACAGGAGCUGCUCGACAAAGAUUAUAUACGCGAAUCUCUUAGUCCUUGUGUUGUUUCUAUUAUACUAGUGCCUAAAAAGGAUGGUACGUCAUGUAUGUGUGUUGAUUGUAGAGGCAUUAAUAAUAUUACUAUUCGUUAUCAUCAUCCUAUUCCUAGGCUAGAUGAUAUGCUUGAUGGAUUGAGUGGCUCUACAAUAUUCUCCAAAGUUGAUUUGCCUAGUGGAUACCAUCAAAUUCGUAUGAAACUGGGAGAUGAAUGGAAAACAACAUUUAAAACUAAGUUUGGUUUAUAUGAGUGGUUUGUCAUGCCUUUUGUGUUAACUAAUGCACCUAGUACUUUCAUGAGACUAAUGAACGAAGUUUUGCGUGCUUUCAUUGGACGAUUUGUGGUAGUCUAUUUUGAUGAUAUACUGAUUUAUAGCAAAUCUUUGGAAGAACAUUUGAAACAUUUACGUGUUGUUUUUAUUGCUCUACGUGAUGCACGUUUGUUUGGUAACCUUGAGAAGUGCACCUUUUGCACCGACCGAGUAUAUUUUCUUGGCUAUGUUGUUACUCCACAGGGAAUUGAUGUUGAUAAAGCCAAGAUUGAAACUAUUGAGAGUUGGCCGCAGCUCAAAACGGUCACACAAGUGAGGAGUUUUCUUGGACUCGCUGGUUUCUAUAGGCGUUUUCUGAGAGAUUUUAGCACCAUUGCUGCACCUCUCAAUGAGCUUACAAAGAAGGAUGUGCCUUUUGUUUGGGGUACCGCGCAGGAAGAAGCCUUCACUUUUGUACAGUGUUCUAUAUCUUAAUAUAAUUUCACGGUAGGAGGCUUUCCCACUGUUCACGGUCAAAAAAAAGAUAAGUUGACACAUGCUCCUUUACUCCAACUUCCUGAUUUUAAUAAGACUUUUGAGCUUGAAUGUGAUGCGAGUGGAAUUGGAUUAGGAGGUGUGUUAUUACAAGAUGGCAAACCUGUUGCAUACUUUUUCUGAAAAAUUGAGUGGGCCUAGUUUGAACUAUUCUACUUAUGACAAAGAAUUAUAUGCUCUUGUUCGGACCUUAGAAACAUGGCAACAUUAUUUAUGGCCCAAAGAAUUUGUUAUACAUUCUGAUCAUGAAUCUUUGAAACACAUUAAAAGUCAAGCAAAACUGAACCGUAGACAUGCUAAAUGGGUUGAAUUCAUUGAGACUUUCCCUUAUGUCAUUACGCACAAAAAGGGUAAAGAAAAUGUUAUUGCUGAUGCAUUGUCUCGUCAUUAUACUAUGCUUUCACAACUUGACUAUAAAAUAUUUGGUUUGGAAACCAUCAAAGAUCAAUAAGUGCAUGAUGCUAAAUUUAAAGAUGUAUUGCAGAAUUGUAAAGAAGGUAGAACAUGGAACAAGUUCGUCGUUAACGAUGGAUUUGUGUUUUGUGCUAACAAGCUAUGCAUUCCAGCUAGCUCCGUUCGUCUUUUGUUGUUGCAGGAGGCGCAUGGAGGAGGACUAAUGGGACACUUUGGCGUGAAAAAGACGAAGGAUAUACUUGCUACACAUUUCUUCUGGCCAAAGAUGAGACGGGAUGUUAAGCGUUUUGUUGUUCGCUGCACUACAUGUCAAAAAGCUAAGUCACGACUCAAUCCUCAUGGUUUAUAUAUGCCUUUGCCUGUACCCAGUGUUCCUUGGGAGGAUAUAUCUAUGGACUUUAUUUUAGGUUUACCUCGAACAAAGAAGGGGAGGGAUAGCAUAUUUGUUGUCGUGGAUAGGUUCUCGAAAAUUGCACACUUUAUACCAUGUAAUAAAAGCGAUGAUGUUGUUAAUGUUGCUGAUUUGUUCUUUCGUGAAAUUAUUCGCUUGCAUGGUGUGCCAAAUACUAUUGUUUCAGAUCGUGAUACUAAAUUUCUUAGCCACUUUUGGAGAUGCUUAUGGGCUAUGUCGGGGGACUAAACUGCUUUUUAGUACUACUUGUCACCCCCAAACUGAUGGACAAACAGAAGUAGUCAAUAGAACAUUGUCUACUAUGCUUAGGGCUGUUUUGAAGAAUAAUAAGAAAAUGUGGGAAGAAUGCUUGCCUCAUAUCGAAUUUGCUUAUAAUCGUUCAUUGCAUUCUACUACUAAGAUGUGCCCUUUUGAAAUUGUGUAUGGUUUCCUACCUUGUGCACCUAUUGAUUUGUUGCCUUUUCCAUCUUCGGAGAAGGUUAAUUUUGAUGCUAAACAAUGUGCUAAAUUGAUUUUAAAAAUGCCUAAGUUAACUAAGGAAAACAUUGAGCGUAUGAAUGCUAAAUAUAAACUUGCUGGAGAUAAGGGUAGAAAACAUGUUGUGUUUGCACCUGGAGAUCUUGUUUGGUUACAUUUGCGUCACGAUAGAUUUUCUGAUUUGCGCAAAUCAAAGCUAAUGCCAUGUGCUGAUGGUCCAUUUAAGGUGUUAGAGAAAAUAAAUGAUAAUGCAUAUAAACUUGAGCUGCCUGCGGAUAUUGGGGUUAGUCCCACUUUUAAAAUUGCAGAUUUGAAGCCUUAUUUGGGUGAGGAAGAUGAGCUUCCGUCGAGGACGACUUCAUUUCAAGAAGGGAAGAAUGAUGAGGACAUCAAUACCAUUGUUACACCCACAGCCCCUGCUACUAUACAUACUGGACCGAUUACUAGAGCUCGCGCACGCCAAUUAAAUUACCAGGUACUUUCGUUUCUUGGUAAUGAUUCUAAUGUUCAUGAGAAUAUGAUGCUGCCUAAAUUGGUUACAUUUGUUUUACUUACAAAUGAAGGGUCUAGCUUGGAGAAGGAUGAACAUUGAAGCAAGAACAAGCAUGGAGUUGAUGGCAUGCACAAGGGAGACAAGAACAGAGUUUCAAGUGAUGAUUUCAGGACUUUGAAGCCAUCAUAAUGAGUGCAUGAAGCCUUGGACGAAAUAUACAAGAUGCCACUUCAUAAUUUUCGUCCCGAGGCUAUUCUAGGUGCAGCGUCACCUUAUUUUUGGGCCAGGCCCAUGUAUUUUUGAAAUACUUGAAUAUAGGCUCUUUUUACAGUCCGUAUGUGUGGGGAAACAAGAGUUAGGGUUGGUUUCGGACCCCUCAUCCAAGGGCCACGAAAUUCGCCCCUCUUCCUCCAUAUAUACAACCCUUAGGGCAUCGUUUAGACUUUGAGGGUUUUGUUUAGAUUAAAAUAUCGCCAUAGCUGCAACUUCGCGUACUUCGUUUGUGUUCAACGACCAGAUCAAGAUGUCACAGAACCCCACCUUCAUUACUAAAGCUUUCCUCUUUUAUUCGCAAUAUCCAGAUUGCAAUCUCAGUUUCUUGCUUGUUCUUCGUUUGCUCGCAGGAAAUAGACCCUCGUGGUCAGGUUGAUCGUGCUCUGGCGUGAUCAAUAACCCCUCGAAAGUUGGUUUAGCGAUUGCUAAGGCGCGACGUCUUCGCACGUUCGUAGUCGGAUCGUCAAAGCCGACUCCCUCAAAAAACGAUAGCUAUCUCACUGAAACAUCGGGACACCCUCACCUCUAUCACCUGAGAAAUCAUAGUAGAUCGAAGGAGGAAGGCUAGAGCAAGAAGUUAGCCUACUGGACUGGGAUCUAGAAGUAGGAGCAGCACUAGUAGGAACAGCAGAGAAAGCAAAAGAAGAAAGGUGAGUUCUUCUUCUUCUGUCAUUCCUUUAGCACUCACACUCACAAAGAAGCCUAACCCAAAUGCACCCACAAUAUUCCUCACUACUUCAUAGAUGAACACAAAAGCUAAAUCAUCCGAGUAGUAUCAUCUAUCAUAGAUCUUAAAAUCAAUAAUACAAGAAAGCAUGGAUAAUGCCUUAAUCAAGUAAAAUAAAAUGGAUCAAGAUAAUGUACAACAAUAGUACACCAACAUCUUGCACAAGAGGAAUUGGUUCCAUACACACACGCACAUGAGACUAAAUUAAUUUACUAAAUCUGAGAACUUUAACCAUAAAAAAAUAUUAGGGAUAGGAACCUGCACAUAUGUUCGAUCUGUUCCAUGGCCACGCACUGGAGCUCUGACCUGCACCAUCCAGCAUCACAGCGGCACCCAACGCCGGCGACUUCGAUCUGGAGCAGCGGAAUCACAUCCCAAUGAGAGCCUCACCUGCAAGCCAAAAUCAGAGGAGGAUUUGAGGGUUAAGGAUGAAUCCAUGGGGGACAUAUGGGGAUUUACAUCACAGAAGAAGAGAGAGAGGGGGGAGAGAGAGAGAGAGAUUUGAGGAUCCGGCAGCGGCGGAGCAGCAUCUUUCCCAUCGCUGGCUUGCUGCUCGAUCUGGGCAAGGAGUAGAAGAAACAGAGGAGGGCAUGCGUGUACUGCUUGUGUUCUGGCUGGACUAGUACUAGUGUGUGUUGGUUUGGUUCAGAAUGGGUAAUAGUACUAGGAGAGAGAAAGAGCCACUUAGCCUAAGCUGAAAUGUCACGUACACUCCCAGGCUACUAGUACUGAUUAG